rnacentral:lncRNA from 1 species
ACACGAGAAAAUGUUUCUUGUGUAAAAUCUCCAUGCACAAAUCAACUCAUGCCCCUUCUCUUCUCACGCACAAGUGGAUAGGGAUGAGUUGGUUUUGCAUUUGAAUUCAAAUUUGAUUUGAAUUCAAAUGUGCAACCACUUAUCUUUAUCCUCUCACGCGGAUAAGACACGUUCGAUGUUGUUUUAAAAAGAGGAGAAAGGUGGGACGUGCAUAGAAAUUUUAGGAGAGAAACUUUGGGAUGUGAGGAAAGUUUGUGCACAAGGUGAAGGUCCAAAACCUUCCGAGAGAAAAAGAAAGAAAAGAAAGAAAAUUGAGCGCAGGGUUUCUACCUAGGGUUUCUACCUAGGGUUUGGGAAG